GACAGAGGGUGCAAGCGUUGUUCGGAAUCAUUGGGCGUAAAGCGCACGUAGGUGGUCUUGCAAGUCGGAUGUGAAAGCCCAGGGCUUAACCCUGGAAGUGCAUCCGAAACUGCUCGACUCGAGUCCCGGAGAGGAUGGCGGAAUUCCGAGUGUAGAGGUGAAAUUCGUAGAUAUUCGGAGGAACACCAGUGGCGAAGGCGGCCAUCUGGACGGAGACUGACACUGAGGUGCGAAAGCGUGGGGAGCAAACAGG
rnacentral:rRNA from 1 species